AUUGAACGCUGGCGGCAGGCCUAACACAUGCCAGUCGAGCGGAUGAAGGGAGCUUGCUCCUGGAUUCAGCGGCGGACGGGUGAGUAAUGCCUAGGAAUCUGCCUGGUAGUGGGGGAUAACGUCCGGAAACGGGCGCUAAUACCGCAUACGUCCUGAGGGAGAAGGUGGGGGAUCUUCGGACCUCACGCUAUCAGAUGAGCCUAGGUCGGAUUAGCUAGUUGGUGGGGUAAAGGCCUACCAAGGCGACGAUCCGUAACUGGUCUGAGAGGAUGAUCAGUCACACUGGAACUGAGACACGGUCCAGACUCCUACGGGAGGCAGCAGUGGGGAAUAUUGGGCAAUGGGCGAAAGCCUGAUCCAGCCAUGCCGCGUGUGUGAAGAAGGUCUUCGGAUUUUAAAGCACUUUAAGUUGGGAGGAAGGGCAGUAAGUUAAUACCUUGCUGUUUUGACGUUACCAACAGAAUAAGCACCGGCUAACUUCGUG
rnacentral:rRNA from 1 species